rfam:Nitrospinae bacterium RIFCSPLOWO2_12_FTLL_45_22 rifcsplowo2_12_scaffold_12281, whole genome shotgun sequence.
UUGAGCAGUGUGUGGUGAAAGCUGCUUGCACCGUUCUUAGGGGGAGGCGUAAGCCUCCCGAUCCACCCGGU